rnacentral:rRNA from 1 species
CCUACGGGGGGCAGCAGUGGGGAAUAUUGCACAAUGGGCGCAAGCCUGAUGCAGCCAUGCCGCGUGUAUGAAGAAGGCCUUCGGGUUGUAAAGUACUUUCAGCGGUGAAGAUAAUGACGGUAACCGGAGAAGAAGCCCCGGCUAACUUCGUGCCAGCAGCCGCGGUAAUACGAAGGGGGCUAGCGUUGUUCGGAAUUACUGGGCGUAAAGCGCGCGUAGGCGGUUUAUGCAGUCAGAUGUGAAAUCCCCGGGCUUAACCUGGGAACUGCAUUUGAGACGCAUAGACUAGAGGUCGAGAGAGGGUUGUGGAAUUCCCAGUGUAGAGGUGAAAUUCGUAGAUAUUGGGAAGAACACCGGUGGCGAAGGCGGCAACCUGGCUCGAUACUGACGCUGAGGCGCGAAAGCGUGGGGAGCAAACAGGAUUAGAUACCCGUGUAGUC